AUUUUUGAUCCUUUACAAUUAUUAACAAUAAAUCUUCCACAGACAGACAGAUCAUCUCAAAAAAAUAGAGUUAAAACAACAACUUCUCCUAGAAAUGUAAAAGACAUGAUAGAGAAACAUGGAUCCUAUUACUGGUAUAUGUACAAACUAACAAACGUUGUAUUAAUGCUAUCAGUAGACUGGUAUUCUGUGACGCUAAAAGGCUCUAUGAUAUCGUAACACCUCAAAACUCCUUCCUGCUACUGAAUCAGUGGGGGGGAGGGAAUAAAACGCGACACCUCAACUCCUUCCUGCUACUGAAUCAGUGGGGGAGGGAAUAAAACGCGACACCUCAAAACUCCUUCCUGCUACUGAAUCAGUGGGGGAGGGAAUACAACGUGACACCUCAAAACUCCUUCCUGCUACUGAAUCUGGUGGGGGGGGAAAUCAACCGCGACACCUCAAAACUCCUUCCUGCUACUGAAUCAGUGGGGGGGGAGGGAAUACAACGCGACACCUUAAAACUCCUUCCUGCUACUGAAUCAGUGGGGGAGGGAAUACAACGCGACACCUCAAAACUCCUUCCUGCUACUGAAUCAGUGGGGUGGGGGAGGGAAUACAACGCGACACCUCAAAACUCCUUCCUGCUACUGAAUCAGUGGGGGGAGGAAUACAACGCGACACCUCAAAA
ensembl:lncRNA